AACGAACGCUGGCGGCAGGCUUAACACAUGCAAGUCGAACGCCCCGCUAGGGGUGUGGCAGCUGGGUGAGUAGCGCGUGGGAACAUACCCUUUUCUACUUAAUAUCCCUGGGAGACUGGAAUUAAUACCGUAUACGUCAUACGGGGGAAAGAGUUAUCGGGGAAGGAUUGGCCCGCGUUGGAUUAGCUAGUUGGUGGGGUAAAGGCCUACCAUGGCGACGAUCCAUAGCUGGUCUGAGAGGAUGAGCAGCCACAUUGGGACUGAGACACGGCCCAAACUCCUACGGGAAGCAGCAGUGGGGAAUAGUGGACGAUGGGCGCAAGCCUGAUCCAGCCAUGCCGGGUGAGUGAUGAAGGCCUUAGGGUUGUAAAGCUCUUUCACCGAUGAAGAUAAUGACGGUAGUCGGAGAAGAAGCCCCGGCUAACUUCGUG
rnacentral:rRNA from 1 species